UAUUAUUGUAAGUAAAAAAAUGAACAAGCUCAUGAGUCAACUCAUGUUCAUUAAAGAUCGUUCAUAUAACUCGUGAUCUAAUUUAAGCUCAAUCAUUAAACUCAUUUAUUAAAUGAGUUUAAAAUAUAGAGAUCGUGCUCAUGAAAAAACGAGCUGAGGUGAGUCCGAUCAUGAGCUAUAGAUCAUUUUGACACCCCUAGGUAAGAUAUAAGAAAUAUUUUCACUCUGGGUCACUUUCUUCAUCUUUUAUUACAGACCAAGACACAUUGUUAUACUGAGACACUUUUCUCAACUUUCUUUCCUCCUUUUGGUUAGAUCCCAAACAUAAAGAAACUAGCUAGAUUCCUCUUUGGCGGGAUUAGCUCCCAACCAUUGAUAUUAUUUUAGCUCCAACGCUCCAGAUUUAAUCUGACAGAGCUGGAAAAUAUACAUAUUUUCCAUUUAACAACAACCAUUGGAUCAACAAUCUUCUCUCAUAUUUUUAACGGUCCAAAUCAACAACUUUCUCUUCUAUUAUUCUCUUUCAUCUCCCCCUACGGCGUCGAUUUUUUCUGUGUUCAUCACUGGAAAAAAAAACUGAAACUUUGCUAAUUAAUCUAAAUUUCUCGACCCUAAUUUGUGUGCUAAUCUUGUUUAACAAUUUUUUUUUCUGUAAUCCCAACAUCUUAACACUCGUUGAAUAACAACCGUGAAACUUGUUGUAGGUAUCUUCCAUGGCGGAUCUCUAGAUGGUUGUCGCCGGCAAAUGGAAGACGUCCGACGAUGGCAACUGGACAUUCUCAAUCGAUAAACAACAAAUGUCCAGGAUCGUUACUCUCCGACCAUGAUCGUUACUCUCCGUUCAACCCGGCCCCCUGCACCUCGUACACCUGUACUUCAUUUAUCACUAUGUCCAUCUGUACAACAUACUUAUAUGUACGCAUGCGAUUAAAAGGCAACACCCCAGGCCAUCAGACUAUCAAAUUGUAAAAACGUUUAAGCCUAUAGAUUUCUCAUCAGUGAUCAAAACUGUACUGCUUUAGCUCUUUGUUCAC
rnacentral:lncRNA from 1 species